rnacentral:lncRNA from 1 species
CAGUAAACAUUUUAGCAAUUUCUUCUUUCCUGCCUGCUGAAGACUGACUUCCUCCUGCUGCCAAAGUUCUAGAGUCUGGACGUCUGAGAUCAGGGUGCCAGCACUGUCGAGGUCACAGACUGCAGACCUCCUUGUAUCUUCAAAUGGAGGAAAGAGGACAAGAGAGCUCCUGUGGUCCCUUUUAUCAAGAUGAAUGCACAAGGAAAAUGUUGUACAUUUGCACAUUGGAGUACACUUCAGCCAUAAAAAGAAUGAGAUGCUGUCAUUUGCAACAACAGGUCAACAGCAAUCUGAGACACACUCUUCUCAUGGCAGAUUAUGGGACCAUAAAGCAGGUAAGUAGUUAAGUUUUUGGCUCAGAACUAAUAGACUGAUAUUUCUUUCUACAUUUCUUUCACCAAAAUAAGUCAUGGCUAAGAGCAACAUUAAUAGUGCAAGGAAAUAUUCUACGCAUCUUCUGCCACAAGGUAGGAGGAAUUGAACAGCGGAAAACAAUAACCCAAGCUAACACACCAGGACAUUUAAUAUGUAUAGCUUUCAUUAUAAUAUAUUCAAAUAUAUAUUAAAUAAUUGUGAAUAUUUGCUUCUCCUGGUUUAACAAAAGGUAUGCCAAAAUUCACUUAUUCUGACAUCAUGGACUCUAUUGCAGAAAAUUUAAUUAAAUAAAAUAAUAAUUAGAUAAAUAUUUUAAUUCAUCGUUUUGUUUAAAGGAUAUUUAAUUAAUAGUCCAUAAAUAAAACAGUUCUAAAUUAAAACACAAGAAACAGUUCAAAAAUUAUAAAUCAACUCUAUCGAGAAUAUUGUAGAAGAUUCUCUGUAUGCCCAACUCAUAACAUUUUUUUCAGUGCCAAGUCAGCCAAUAUCCCCAUUUUUGUCAUAUUUAUACUAUUGUUUUAGUUUAGAGUUAAGAACCUAUGGAUUCAGUUUUAAACAAUAUAGUUUAACUGUGACCCUUUAAAAUGUUAGACAAUUAAAAACACUCUUUAUACAUGUUUGUGACCUGAUUUUUUCACUAAAUACGAUAUUUUAGAUUUUUCCAUGUUGACAUAUGCAGCUACAGUCUGUUGAUUUACAUUAUUGUGUAGUAUUUUUGUAUGAACAUACCAAUUUACUUUUUAUAUUUUCAUUAUGGCUUAUAGGAGUUCUUUUCCAACGUUUAUACUUCCCUUAUUAUGCAUUUUUGGAAGCAAAUAUCUUCUUCGAUUUGUGGCUUGUCUUUCUAAUUUUAAUGGUGUCUUUCAAUUAAUAACAGUUCUUAAUUUCUCAAAAAUUAAAAUUUUUCUUUAUUGUAGUUUUGUGUCUUUUAAAAGACAUUCUUAACCAGAAUACACAAACCAUUUUUCAAUAUUUUAAAGGUGGUUUUCCUUUAUAAAUUAUGUCUUCACUUCACCUGAAAUUGAUCUUACUUGCAGUAUGAGGUAAUGUGCCCAGCAUCAUUUUUUUUCUCACAGAUGCAAAGCUGUUUCAACAAUAUUUAUUGAGAAAUUGUUUCUCUAUCUAUUGAUCUGAUGUGUUCAUAUAAUGACUGGGUAUAUUUUAGGUUUUCUAUUUUAUUCCUAUAGUGCUACUAUCUUACUUUUAUUCAAGAAAGAUAUUAGAAGCUCAUUAUCAAUGUCUACAAAACUACCUGAAGGGGUUAUUAUUGUGAUUAUUUGUUAUUAUUACUGUUUAUUGUUCUUCCAGUCUUUG